UACAGAGGUCUCAAGCGUUGUUCGGAUUCAUUGGGCGUAAAGGGUGCGUAGGCGGCGCGGUAAGUCGGGUGUGAAAUCUCGGAGCUUAACUCCGAACUGCAUUCGAUACUGCCGCGCUUGAGGACUGGAGAGGAGACUGGAAUUUACGGUGUAGCGGUGAAAUGCGUAGAUAUCGUAAGGAAGACCAGUGGCGAAGGCGGUCUCUGGACAGUUCCUGACGCUGAGGCACGAAGGUCAGGGAGCAAACGGG
rnacentral:rRNA from 1 species